rnacentral:rRNA from 1 species
GAUAAACGCUGGCGGCGUGCCUAACACAUGCAAGUCGAACGCCCUUUUGCGCAAGUGAGAGGGAGUGGCGGACGGGUGAGUACCACGUGGGUACCUACCUUGAGGUGAGGAAUACCACCGAGAAAUCGGUGACAAGACCGCAUACGCUCGGGCAACCGAGCAAAGUCAUGCAAAUGACGCCACAAGAUGAGCCUGCGCCUGAUUAGCUGGUUGGUGAGGAACAGCUCACCAAGGCGACGAUCAGUAGCUGGUCUGAGAGGAUGAUCAGCCACACUGGGAUUGAGAACGGCCCAGACUCCUAC